AUGCUUACCUGGCAGGGGAGAUACCGUGAUCACGAAGGUGGUUUUCUCAGGGCGAGGCUCAUCCGUUGCACUCCGGAUGUGCUGACCCCUGCGAUUUCUGCAAGUGCGGGAAACUCGACUGCAUUUGUGGAAGUGGGGGGCUGUGUGUGCACUGUCCCCUG